UUAUGGAUCGCGGUGAUGUUGUUCCGCCAAAUCGCGUGGCGAUCGCGAAGAAAUCUUCGAGCCGCUUCCAAGUACGCGCGCGAUUGCUCUACAUUGGCUGGAGCUCAAGAACCUCCUCCUGUUCUCCGACUUGGAUCGCUAUCUUCCUCGCAUUCUCAUAUUUCUCUGUCAGAUCAAGAUAUUUCCAAGAACGAGGCUAGAAUCAACCAAGACGAGAUUGAGAAUCUCCACUCCCAGCAACAAAGCGCGAUUACGAGCAGGGCUCGAUUGGAGGAGCUUGUAGAGCAGCUGGAAAUCGAGCAGAAGAAGAGAUACGUCGCGGACGUCGAGUACGUGCGUCUCCUCCAGGCAUGUCCCAAGGUCAAAGCUUUGGACGUUGCUCGACGCCUCCACUCACAGAUCGUGAGAGCGUCGCUGGACAACCGCGUCUUCCUCGGCAACCAUCUCAUCCACACCUACGGAAAAUGCCACAGCCUGGACGAUGCAUGGGAAACUUUCGAGCGCAUGAGCUACAAGAACGUUUACACAUGGACUGCGAUCAUCGGGGCAAAUGCUGCUGGAGGGUGUGAAACCAGACAACAUCACGCUGCUCGCGGCGCUCACGUCCUGUGAGACCUCGCAAGCUCUCCCCGCCGGUAAGCUCAUUCACGGCUUGAUCGCUCAGAGUGGACACCAGUGUGACUUAAUCCUGGAAAAUGCUCUUGUCAGCAUGUAUGGGAGCUGCGGGAGCGUCGACGAUGCCAAGAGAGUUUUCGAUGCGAUGCCGGCCCGGAAUGUCAUCACCUGGACUGCGAUGAUCGGGGCUCAUGCCGUGACCAGUCUCGAGCAAGCUUUCAAGGUGUUCCGGCUGAUGGAGCUCGAGGGGUUUAAGUCCAACUUCGUGACGUACGUGACGCUCGUCCAGGCUUGCUCCAAACCGGAGUUUCUAGAGGUGGGCAUAAUCUUACACAUGCGUAGCGUGGAGAGUUCUAGUGCUAUGGAAACUCCUCUUUGCAAUGCGCUGAUCACGAUGUAUGGAAGAUGCGGACGGCUGGAGGACGCGCGCGCCAUCUUUUCCAGCAUGGUGGAGCGAGAUAUAAUCGCCUGGAACGCUCUCAUUACGGAGUAUGGCCAGCACGGGCAUGUCGAGGAGGCUGUGCUGCUCUACCAGCUUAUGCUACAAGAGGGCUGUAAGCCGGACAAGGUAACCUUUGUUGCGCUCCUUACGAUGUCCAAUGGACCAGAAGCUCUAACGGAGGUUAAACUCGUCCAUUCUCAUAUUGUAGAGAGCGGAGUGUCCAUCAACAUCGCGCUGGGGACAGCGCUUGUGGCGAUGUACUCCAAGUGCGAGAGCCUGGAAGAUACACGCUGGCUGUUCGAGAAAAUGCCGCAGCGCAACGUGAUCUCCUGGAACGUCAUGGUGACAGCGUAUGCCAAGCACGGUCUGGGAAGGAAAGCAGUGCAGAUCACGGAGUACAUGCAGCUCGAUGGUGUAAAGCCGGACAACGUUACGUGUGUUGGUCUUCUAAACGUAUGCACCGGCUCGGCCGAUCUCAAGCUGGGAAGAAAGGUACACGGCUGGAUAGCGGAAGGCAGGUGCGAGGCGGACUUAAUCCUGUGGAACUCACUCCUAAACAUGUACGGCAGGUGUGGAGAAGUGGAACAAGCGGAGAUGGUCUUCGACGGGAUCCUCCAGCGUAAUGUCAUCAGCUGGACAGCAAUGCUCACGGCCUACUCGCGGCAGAACAGGCAAGACAUGGCGCUGCUCCUCUUCCACGCCAUCCAUCUCAGCGGGGUGAAGCCGACGUGCAUCACCUUUCUUGAGGCGCUGGAUGCGUGUGUCGGUGCGGAGGCCCUGGACAAAGGGAGGCUGGUCCACUCCUGCGCUGUCCAGAGCGGGAACGACAUCGACGUGUCGCUGGGGAGUGCCUUGGUUGCCAUGUACGGAAGGUGUGGCUCGAUCCGAGACGCAAAGGCAUGCUUCGACGACACAGAAGUUCGGAAGAAUCACGUAACUUGGUCGGCAAUGAUUGCGGCAUUCGUCCAGCACGGGCAAGACAGGGAAGGACUCCAGCACUUGCGGUUCAUGCAGCAGCAAGGACUAGACAUGUCCCCGGCAACGUUUGCAUCGACUCUAAGUGCGUGCUCCAACCUCGCCGACCUCCGAGAAGGCAAACGAAUCCACUCAUACGUGAGAGAGAGAAGAUUCGACACCGAGGCUGCCACCGUCACGAAUUCGCUCGUCACCAUGUAUGGAAAGUGCGGCAGCCUGGAUUGUGCGAGAGAGGUCUUCGAGACGUCCCGUCGGCAGGACACCAUCUGCUGGAACGCCAUCAUCUCGGGGUAUGCUCAGCACAGCCAGACCAGAGACGCCGUGGAACUUUUCCACCGGAUGCAACAGGAAGGCGUAGCUCCCGACCCCGUCACCUUCGUCUGCAUCUUGAGCGUCUGUAGCCACGGCGGCUUGCUCGACGAAGGCGUCUACGCGUACGCGAGCAUGGUCGAGCUGGGCCUCGAGCCAACGCAGGACAACUACGCUUGCGUCAUAGAUCUCCUGGGACGAGCAGGGAAGCUGCAAGAGGCCGAGGAGUUUAUACAGUCGCUCGGCACCCGACCAGCGAUCGAGACGCUCACUUCGCUGCUGAGCUCUUGCAAGAGCCACGGCGAUGUACAGCGCGGGAGGCGAGCGGCAGAGGGGAUUAUGGAGAUGGAUCCCAGGAGCUCCUCGGCUCACGUUGUGCUGUCGAGCAUUUACUCCGCAGACCCCGAAGAGUAGAACUACAACUUACAAGCAACGCUCAUCAACACGUAGUUCGGCAGCAAGCUCGGCUUCACCAACUUCUAACUGUUCGGUGUUAUGAGGCCGCAAGUUUAUGAACAACGAACGAUCCAAGAGUGCCGAGGAAGAGGACGGCAUGGCAUUACGCUUGCAAAGGCGAGAAGACUUGUAACUCGGCGAGCUGCCAAGGUCACGAGUUGAAAGUGGAGGUGGUGGACACGAAGAAGAAAGAAAGAGAAAGGACUAGACUGUUGGAAGAAAAGAAUCGCAAGGUCAGUGGCGCAAUUAUCAGCAGUCGUUCGUUCAUUUCAUGUGCAGCGCCAUUAAGUAGCAAAAGUUCAAACCA